GGAAUAUUGCACAAUGGGCGCAAGCCUGAUGCAGCCAUGCCGCGUGUAUGAAGAAGGCCUUCGGGUUGUAAAGUACUUUCAGCGGGGAGGAAGGCGGUGAGGUUAAUAACCUUACCGAUUGACGUUACCCGCAGAAGAAGCACCGGCUAACUCCGUGCCAGCAGCCGCGGUAAUACGGAGGGUGCAAGCGUUAAUCGGAAUUACUGGGCGUAAAGCGCACGCAGGCGGUCUGUUAAGUCAGAUGUGAAAUCCCCGGGCUUAACCUGGGAACUGCAUUUGAAACUGGCAGGCUUGAGUCUUGUAGAGGGGGGUAGAAUUCCAGGUGUAGCGGUGAAAUGCGUAGAGAUCUGGAGGAAUACCGGUGGCGAAGGCGGCCCCCUGGACAAAGACUGACGCUCAGGUGCGAAAGCGUGGGGAGCAAACAGGAUUAGAUACCCGAG
rnacentral:rRNA from 1 species